UAUUGCCCUUAGAAAAAGUUUUAUUUUUGUCUUCUUAUUCUAGAGAUUGGGUUUUAACUUAUUUUUUUUUUCCCCUAUAAUAUAGGCUUGCUUUGAGCUAAUAUCCUUGGAUCAUCUGGAUGAACUACUUAGCUAUGGAAAAUCUGUGGCAGAGACAUAUUUCCAAAAAUGCUUUUAACAAGCUGCUGGUCGAGAAAUUCAUGUUAACAAUGUUGUUUCAACAGGUUUCCAUUAAAACAAUAAAUAAACAUGGUAAUUCAAAAGAAGUCUAAACGUGGAGAAGCACACUUCACACUUCUUUCUCUUGGACUUGAAAAGGAGCUAUUUUAUGUUGUAUUUAGGAAAUGGUUUGUAGUUUUGUUAAUUGUGGUAGAAGUUAUGGUUCUUAAUAUCUUAAAAAAAAGUAUGUAUGAUGAAACUAACAUUAUAUUGUUUCGAUAGGUUAUCAUUUAAACACAUUAAAUGAACAAGGGGUCAAAAAAUAAGAAGGAUUCGAAAUCUAGAGAAGUGGAGUCCCAUUAAUGGUUCUUCUACUUGGACUUGAAAUGUGAAAAUUCAUUCAUUCAAAUACAUGCAGUCAAGUUGAUGUGUAUAAAGUUGCACAUGCGAUAUUCUGUCAUGAGUAGAAUUGAUGCCACGUCGCCAUUUUUAAAUUUACUUGCUCUUUGGUAUCGUGCAACAAAUGAGAGAGAAUUAAAGCAGAUCAUACUGAAACAACCAAAGUCUACAAUGGUAUCAUCAUUCUUGAAUUAUAUUUUUGAUUUGCUGUUUUCGUCUUCAAUUUGCAACAUGAUGAUGUGAAUU